rnacentral:rRNA from 1 species
AUUGAACGCUGGCGGCAGGCUUAACACAUGCAAGUCGAGCGUGAAAGGGCUUCGGCCUGAGUAAAGCGGCGGACGGGUGAGUAACGCGUAGGAACCUACCUGGUAGUGGGGGAUAACGUUCCGAAAGGAACGCUAAUACCGCAUACGUUCUGAGGAAGAAAGCAGGGGACCGCAAGGCCUUGCGCUAUCAGAUGAGCCUGCGUCCGAUUAGCUAGCUGGUGGGGUAAAGGCCUACCAAGGCGACGAUCGGUAACUGGUCUGAGAGGAUGAUCAGUCACACUGGAACUGAGACACGGUCCAGACUCCUACGGGAGGCAGCAGUGGGGAAUAUUGGACAAUGGGGGCAACCCUGAUCCAGCCAUGCCGCGUGUGUGAAGAAGGCCUUCGGGUUGUAAAGCACUUUAAGCUGGGAGGAAGGCUCCAUGGCUAAUAUCCAUGGGGAUUGACGUUACCAGCAGAAUAAGCACCGGCAAACUUCGUGCCAGCCGCCGCGGUAAGAC